AUUUCCUUCUUUUUACUGCUCUCUAGUUCUAUACUAAGGAGAAUUUAACAUGGUAUCAGAGCUUAAUUGCUUCCUACUGCUGCCUUCAUUUUUCAGCAUUUUACUGGUAUCAAAGUUGAUGAAUCUGAAGAUAACUUUGGCUUAAGAUCAUCCGCUGAUUUGAUACAAUCGGAAUUUCAAGACUUCUUCUUCAGUUCAAUACCAACAACAUGGUUUUGUAGAGCUCCAGCAACUGCUCUCUGCACCUUCCAUCAAGGAAUCAAGCAGUUCAAUAAAUCUUGUACCUCUUCCUCAUCAUGUUCUGCUUCCAUUUCCUCGGCAAUCUCUUUUACAUCUGCACUUGGUUGUCGGGUUAGAGUAUUAUCAUUUGUUAUGGACCACGAGGGCCUUUGGCAAAAUGUUUCCUAUCUAACUUCUCUAGAGGUAUAUGCUUUGUAAGAAAAAAAGCCUCUCUGCACGCUGUUGAAGGGUACCCCCUGUCUUCAAACCUAGUGCAGCCAAUGCCUCUUUUAACCUCUCAGGCCCUACUUCCAUCAGUUCUUUAACGGUAGUAUAAAAAUCAAGAUCAAUAGCAGAAUUUUGUAACUACCUUUGAGAAUAUUCUGCCAAGAUGUUGCAGAGGCUCUAUCCCAUAGCAGAUACUCUAGUAAUUUUGGCACAUAUUCCUGGAUCUUUAUCAGAUGUGAUUGGGUUUUCCCCUCCAGUACAUCCAAUGUUUUCUGUGAUCUUCAAGAUGGAUCUCCAUAGUCCAUCUUGAGGGCGGUGUGUUAGGAUAUACAUCCCAGCAGCUCACCAGAUUCCUUCAACUUCCAAUUGCUUCCAACGUGUGUCCAGCUGUCUCCAGUUGUUAUGUUAGUUAGUAGUUUAGUUAGUUAGUUAGUUGUUAGAUGUUAGUUAUUCUAGUUAGCCACUUACACUUGUGUCUACAAAUACAAG
rnacentral:lncRNA from 1 species